rnacentral:rRNA from 1 species
UGACGGUACCUGCAGAAGAAGCCCCGGCCAACUACGUGCCAGCAGCCGCGGUAAUACGUAGGGGGCGAGCGUUGUCCGGAUUUAUUGGGCGUAAAGAGCUCGUAGGCGGUUCGAUAAGUCGGAUGUGAAAUCUCCACGCUCAACGUGGAGGGGCCAUUCGAUACUGUCGUGACUCGAGUCCGGUAGGGGAGUGUGGAAUUCCCGGUGUAGCGGUGAAAUGCGCAGAGAUCGGGAGGAACACCCGUAGCGAAGGCGGCACUCUGGGCCGGUACUGACGCUGAGGAGCGAAAGCGUGGGGAGCAAACAGGAUUAGAUACCCUGGUAGUCCACGCCGUAAACGUUGGGCACUAGGUGUGGGACUCUAUCGACGGGUUCCGUGCCGUAGCUAACGCAUUAAGUGCCCCGCCUGGGGAGUACGGCCGCAAGGCUAAAACUCAAAGGAAUUGACGG